rnacentral:rRNA from 1 species
CCUACGGGCUGCACCAGUGGGGAAUAUUGCACAAUGGGCGCAAGCCUGAUGCAGCCAUGCCGCGUGUGUGAAGAAGGCCUUCGGGUUGUAAAGCACUUUCUGCGGGGAGGAAGGCGAUAAGGUUAAUAACCUUGUCGAUUGACGUUACCCGCAGAAGAAGCACCGGCUAACUCCGUGCCAGCAGCCGCGGUAAUACGGAGGGUGCAAGCGUUAAUCGGAAUUACUGGGCGUAAAGCGCACGCAGGCGGUCUGUCAAGUCGGAUGUGAAAUCCCCGGGCUCAACCUGGGAACUGCAUUCGAAACUGGCAGGCUAGAGUCUUGUAGAGGGGGGUAGAAUUCCAGGUGUAGCGGUGAAAUGCGUAGAGAUCUGGAGGAAUACCGGCGGCGAAGGCGGCCCCCUGGACAAAGACUGACGCUCAGGUGCGAAAGCGUGGGGAGCAAACAGGAUUAGAUACCCUCGUAGUC